CAGAAGAAUCGCUUGAACCCGGGAGGCAGAGGUUGCAGUGAGCCGAGAUCGCACCACUGCACUCCAGGAUGGGCAACAGAGCGAAACUCCAUCCAAAAACAGCAAAACAACGAACAAUUACGAUAAGAUUAAAAGUGAUAGCAGCUAACACUUAUGGAGCGUCUAGUGUGUUCUCAGCUCUUGGCCUGCACUGUCUCAUUGAAUUUUACCAACACCUGGGAGGUGAGCGCAUCAUUCCCAUUUCACAGAUCAGGUGCCUGGAAGGAUUUGGCUUCCCCAAGGCGUAAAGCGCUGGCAUUUGAAUGCAGAUCUGCCCAGAGCUUGUCUCCAGGGGUCCUGGGAGGCCCAAAGGCCUCCGCCGCUCUCGGCUUGAACGCGGGGAACCGUUCUCCUCGGGUUCCCGCGCGCUCCAAUGGGGGACCUCUCCGCAGCGUGCGGUCGUCGCAGGACCCGGAAAGGGGAAAGGUGGGGAGCCGAUCCGGGUGCUCCGAGCUCGGGAGACUGAGGGGGCGGGCGGGCGGGACCCCGCAGCCCCGGGGGCCUCUGGGAGCCCCUCCCCCCUCGGCCCCGCCCCCUCCCCGGGCGCCGACCUCCGGGGUCACGUGACCGGGCCCGGCGGCCGCUGGGGCUGGAGGGCGCGGCGCGGGGACGCGGCGGCCUGGGCAGGCGAGGCGGGAGCCUAGCAGGCCGGAGCGGGCCGCGCGCCGGGGAGGGUCGCGCCGCGCCCGCCCCCUCCCCGCCACGCCCGGGGCGCACGCGCGCUCCUCUGGCCGCCCCUCCCUCCGCGCGGGGACCCCUGGCGGGCGGCAGGAGGACAUGGCCAGCGACGCCUUGCAGGUGGCGAUGUGGACGGGGCUGGUUUGGGGGCAAUCUCGGAGGCAACCCCCGCUGCACCCCCAAACUCGGCCUCUCCCGGAGAACUAGAAGGGGCGCGGCGGAGGCUCUACUUCGGGUGUCUGUGGCUGGCUGGGAGUCCCGGUGCCUCUCGUCCGCCCCCAAACUCAUACCCCUCCCCAGGGCUGGGUGCCCGGCAGGUGCCGCUCCACCUGGGGCAGGUGCCUGGCGCAGUGCCGUGGGAGGGGAGGAGGCCGCCGGGCCCGGCCCGUGCCCUUCCCCCGCAUAACAAAGCUCCAGCCACCCCCGCCUCUAGACAGCUUUAUAGUGUUCCAGACGCCACCCAGAUUGGCACCUGUUGGCGGAAGUACCCGAGUCACUGCAUUAGGUCGGUGGACUGGGGACCCCCGCUCCCACCCUUGGACUGUCAGGUGGAACCUUCUCCCGGGUGGGGACUGUCUCAGUCAACAGGCCAGGGAUGCUCCCAUAUAUAGAAUCCUACUUUUUUGCAUGGUGCCUGGGCAGGGCUGGGUCACCCCCACCCUCCUAACACACACACGUGACUGGCACCAGCCUCCCGCCCAGCCAGAUUCCCCCGUGCCACCUGGCGAGUAUCACUGACCUGGACUCAUCUUCUCCGUUUGUGACAAGCAGGGCCAGCGUGACUGCCAACCUUCUUUGGUUCAAGUGACCCAAAUCUGAGAAAUGUCUGUGCCUCGGUGCCCCCAUUAGCACCUCACCAUCCAGUUCAUCGUCCUGUGGCUGUUGUGUAACUGGGUUCUCGUCUCCUUCUGCACCUGCCCCCUGCCCCUCUGUGUCUCCCCCGUAACCCCCGGUCCCUCCCACUUCCCCAGUCCUGCUGAUGGCCUGCCGGCCUUGCCGAGGAGCUGGGCGUAUCUGGUGUUGCCGAUCACACAAGGUCAGACCUCAGGGCCGGGAUGGGCCGGGGUCCCUGCCCCUACCCCCGGCCCAGGGAGGGCUGUGUAGGAAUCCCCGGGCGCAUGCAUGCGCUUGGCGCGUCCCACACAUGACCCAGACAGGCUGUGAUUCCUGCAGUGAGGCUGGACCCACGCCCUGGUCCCCCCUUCCCAUCUCCUCCUUAGUCUCUUCCCUCCUCCUGGUCAUCCCUCUCUCAUGGUUGCUUGGGCCUGCCGCCCUGUCCCUGUGUCUGUCCGAACGUGUGCCUGUCUGUUCUGUGUCCUGCAAACGGAUGUCCUGUCCAGAUUCCGGAAACGCCCAAGGCAUUGAAAUCUCCGGAUGUGGGGGUCUAGGUCCCUGGCUGCUCUGGCAAGAUGGGGAUUCUGGGAGGCAGGUCCUCUGGGUCUGAGGUCUCCGCUCCAUGGUGGGCAGCAGAGGAGCAGGGGUUCUCCAUAGGCCAGGCCAGACCCCUGAGUCCUGGGUUUGCCUUGGUGGCCCUCAGGUGACCCCUAUGCCCUGGGAAGAAGUGAGUCACUCAGGGCAGGAGAACCCAGGAGCCCAGCCUCCCUCCCUCUCUGUGUUACAGAUCUCAGCUGCUGGAGGUGGGGCCGAGGGAGGCCACCUCUCCUCUCUGCCUGGACUUCCCCAGUUGAGCUGACCCUGCUCUUGGCUGUGUCCUCCCUCUGCCUGCUGGGGAUAGGGUGGGGCCUGACUGAGUGAGGGUGGUAUUUGGUGAGCCUGGGCUUAAAUUCCGACGCUGACACUUCCUUGCUGUGUGUCCUGG